rnacentral:misc_RNA from 1 species
UGAAUCACCACAAUUUGCAACUAUAAUGUGAGUUGGACAAACAAUGGCAACUACUGCAGUAGAACCAACAGUUUCAGGGGCAAUAGGUUCAAAUUGAGCCUCAGAAUCAUCAGUAUUACUUCCUGUGGUGCUUUUGCAUGAUCCUCCUGUCUCAGCAUCAACUUUUAGAAAACAAUCUAAGAAGGCUUUCUUCCACUGCUCCUGCCAACUACUCCUAGUGCUUCCACUACACAAGCCUGCUUUUGCAAUUUUUAGCUCCUUGGCCAGAGCCAAAUGAAUUCGCUUGGCGCAAUAAUUAGCAACCUACAGAAAGAAAGCUCUUAGUUUUGACCACGCAGAACCUUCUUGGCUCAUUCAUAAACUGAUGAAUACGCAACUAAAGGAGAAUAGCAAGAAAAGUGGCAUUAAGCAUACCUGAGAGCCCCCAUGUCCAUCAUAGACACCAAAAAAGUGCGCAGUGAAGUAACGUAGUGUCUGGGUCAUGCCAUUAACAAGAUCAUCCAUUAGCAAUUGAGUAGGAAUAUGAAAAAAUCUAGGCACAGCGGCAAAAACAUCUUCCAUCUCUGGUCUCCUUCCACACGUAGAUGUAAAUCCCCAAAGUGGUAUGUUAUACAAUUCAAAGGUACUCAGGCUACCUGUCAUGGUGAUCUUCUUUUCUUCCGGCACAUCAGGAGGCACAGCAUAUAAUUUUGGAUCAGAACCAUAGCCAUCUUCACCCUUACUGUCUGCCUCAACUGAAACAAUAUCAUCCACAGGCUCUAAUUCAACACUCGUUUUUCUCACAUGGGAAUUUGCAAUCAUUUCAAAAUUACCAAUUAUUUCUUCAACAUCCAUUGAAUCCCUAUUGGAUUUAGUAUCAUCCAAAGCCAAAGGUUCCUCACAACAGAUACUCCUAGUUUCUGAAUCCAGAGAUUGAGAACAUAAAUUUUCAGGUAAUUGGUCAUCACCUAAUGGUAUUAAAGUGAAGUCCUUGCUUCCCUCAUUAAAGUUGUCCCUAGAAUUCACAUCUUCAGCAAUUGCUACAUGGCGAAUUCCACUCGGUGUACCAUUGGUGUCAUUACCCUCAUUCUUGCAAGGAACGGACUCAACAGGUGUAUUUGGCUUCCUUGCGGGGUUUGAUAUCAAAGUUGCUUUAUCUGCCAUACGCUUUAGCCCACAAAUUUCCAUGUGGGCUGUUACUGGUGACCUGUUGCAGAUCAUUUUGUCUAUGCUAAAUGGAACACCAACUGCAGGAGAUAUCUCCUCCAUGGAAUUCAUUUGACUUGCAACAAUAACCUGAAAUUUGGAACCCUCCAAAAACAAAAUAGAAAUUGCUACUAUGCUUAUUACUUUUUGUAUCUUGUAUUCUUUUUCUCAAAAGAAUUGCCUAUAUACAAGAAAGAAUGAUGAAGCCUAUGCAAGAUGCCAAUUGAAGAAGGCAGUAAAUAUGAUGGCUGAAUAAUGGACUACAUUCUAUCAUAUGGGAUUCAAAGCAAUAAAAAAAAUGCAUUAAAUUAAUCGAAAGCUAGAAAAAGAUGGCUCUCCAACCUAUUCAACCAACCUCGACGAGGGUAUUUCCCUGUCUUGACACAUCAACCAGAAGGGAAGAGAGAGAGAGAGAGAGAGA